rnacentral:piRNA from 1 species
UUGUUUCUUUAAAUGACAUAC